CUAAGAUAAAAAGGUCAGGUCUUUGUGCAGCACAGGUGAAACUGUAUCCCCUACCUACAUCAUAUUACAGGAGUUAAUACUUCUGUGAAAUUUCAUGGUCUCUGUAGGUCUCUUCAGCUUAUAGCAGUCAGUUGAUACAUGUGAAGACUAAUUCAUAUCCCUUUGCCAGAUUGUCUUUGGCAAAGGGCUAAAGAAUUAGCUAAAAAUAGUCAAGGCCUGCAGGGAUCCUAAACUGGACAGGAUAAUUGUGUCUAUGUUUUCUUCUUGAAGAGAUCAUGUGGAACUCGGAAUCUCAGCCAGGUUUUAGGUGAACAGAACAAGACCAAUGAAGAGCUAAUUAAACAAGCACUCAGGGCAAUGACUAAAGCAAAGGAGUUGCAGGGUCAGGAGGGGAAGAAGAGUUCUUAUUCAUGGAAGAGUCUCAGUUUCUUUGGGGAAAAGACUGGGAGGACAGCUAUAAACACAACUGCACAACUAAAGUGGUAAUUCCACACCCAUGAAAAACCAUGUGGAUGGUAAAGCUAUAAUCUUGCAAAAAGAGGGAAGCAAACACAGAGCUUGUGAAAACACAGCAGGUAUAAAAUCACAACACAGUUAUUUCACAUUCAGCUUCACAAAAUUGAUGUUCCUUAGUGUUUCCUUCACUACUGGCACUAAUUAGCUUCCAUAAUGCCUGCAAACAUUUUGACUUACCGUAUGGAUUGUCUCAAAGAUUGAAAGAUGUGGGGUUUUCAAAUCUAGGCACUGUGUGCAGAUGUUUCUGAGCCGCUCAACUUGAAUUCUCUUCCUUCUGUGAACUUGCCGGGACUAGUGAGGUGCAAUCAAUACUACAGGUAAUGGCUCAGCAGCAAGAAUGUAGUCCACUAUGAGAGACCAGUCUAAGGGAACCAGAGAGAAUGAGCCUUUGAACUUUCUUUGAGCACUGCAGCAGGAAAAACUGAUGGAACCUAAUUUUAAGGUAAUUUGAAACAAAUUAUU
rnacentral:lncRNA from 13 species